rnacentral:rRNA from 1 species
GACGAACGCUGGCGGCGUGCUUAACACAUGCAAGUCGAACGGUGAAGCGCCUUCCUUUUUGGUGGGUGUGGAUGAGUGGCGAACGGGUGAGUAACACGUGAGUAACCUGCCCCCUUCUUCUGGAUAACCGCAUGAAAGUGUGGCUAAUACGGGAUAUUCUGGGUCUGUCGCAUGAUGGGUCUGGGAAAGAUAUUGUUUCGGUGGGGGAUGGGCUCGCGGCCUAUCAGCUUGUUGGUGGGGUGAUGGUCUACCAAGGCGGUGACGGGUAGCCGGCCUGAGAGGGUGGACUGUCACACUGGGACUGAGACACGGCCCAGACUCCUACGGGCGGCAGCAGUGGGGAAUAUUGCACAAUGGGCGCAAGCCUGAUGCAGCGACGCCGCGUGAGGGAUGGAGGCCUUCGGGUUGUGAACCUCUUUCGCCAGUGAAGCAGGCCUGCCUCGUUUGUGGGUGGGUUGACGGUAGCUGGAUAAGAAGCGCCGGCUAACUACG